rnacentral:rRNA from 1 species
UACGUAGGGUGCGAGCGUUGUCCGGAAUUAUUGGGCGUAAAGAGCUUGUAGGUGGUUUGUCGCGUCUGCUGUGAAAAUCCGAGGCUCAACCUCGGACUUGCAGUGGGUACGGGCAGACUAGAGUGUGGUAGGGGAGACUGGAAUUCCUGGUGUAGCGGCGGAAUGCGCAGAUAUCAGGAGGAACACCGAUGGCGAAGGCAGGUCUCUGGGCCAUUACUGACACUGAGAAGCGAAAGCAUGGGGAGCGAACAGG